CAAAAUUAUUUGCAAAAUCAAUUAAAUAUUUUGAAAAAAAUAUUUUUUAAAUAUCUUAUUUGUUCUGCUGUUACGGAAAAAUACGGAUAGAUAUUGUUCUAAAGGAAAACAAAGUCGCCAGAAAUUAAAUAAAAUUUACUGGACCACUCUUGCAAUAAAAUAAUGAUGGAUCUCAAAGAAACAUUGAGUUCAGGUAAAAUCUAUCGGAGGAAACAUCUACUUGCAUUAUUAAAUAUAACAUUUAUUGGAAAGUGGACAAGGAAUUUUAAAGAAAAUUAACGAUUGAGUUCGAUCGUGCGAACGAAAUUAUCGAUGAUAAUUAUUUAUUGGGCGAAUAAAGAUAUAUUAGGCUCCGCGGUGAAAACACAACACAUCAGAUGAUACUGAACAUCGAACGAGAUUGUUUAGAAGUUUAAAAUAUUGUUUUGGCAUAUUAUGAUCAUUAAUAAUGUGUUAACUAUUUUUAAUGCUUAAUUAUUUGUUAAGCAUGUAUAAAUGUAAAUGACUAUACGAAGGAUCUUAUUAGUGAGUAUUACUUGUGAACUUUGAUUAAUUUAAAAAGGCGCAUUUAUAGGUGGAAUCAGAAUCGUGACAGAUUACUGCCGUAGGAUUUUACGGAUCUUGUUUUCUUUAUUGCAUGGAUCUGAGUUGUACUCUAAUAAUAGUGAGCGCUAAAUUAAUAGGUUAUUUCACACAUACGCAGUUAUGCUUUUUAUUGUAUGCAUUUUAUUGGACCGCAAGCAGCAACCGCAGCAAAAGCCGAUUACAGAAGUACAUGAUGCAUAUUUCGAUUCAUUUCUCUUGAUAUCAAGCACAUCGUUAUUUCUUUUAUUUUUUUUGUAAUAUUUAUAUAGAGUUGUACAUAUGUAAUUAUUAUUUGUUGCGUUCCAGUUGUUUUUGCGCGAUAGAAAUAGGAUUUGCAAUAAUUUCUACCGGAAUGCAGAAAAAGGGAACUUUUAUUCACUUAUUGUUGAUUUAACGAAGAAUUUCAUAUCGACAUGUUUUUACUAUUUUUCUUUUUAUCUAGAGAAUUAUCAUCAUUUUUAUAUGAAAAUAUGGAACAUGGUUAUUCAUCUGUCUUUCAUUUGAGUUUUUGAAAAUUGAUGGGAAUUUUAUUUAUGUCUGUUUCACAAUGCUAAUUGUUCUAAAUAGACUUUAUAUUUUUUUUUCUCAAUUUAUAGAACCAUAGAGAUCACUGCAAGGCAGAGGCGGACUGGACAGGAGAGAUACCGAGAAAUUUCUCGGGGGGCCCCAUGUUUUUGGGGGCCCCAGUGGCCCCCAAAUCCAAAUUU